CACGUAGGGCGCAAGCGUUGUCCGGAAUUAUUGGGCGUAAAGAGCUCGUAGGUGGUUUGUUACGUCCGCUGUGAAAUCCUAGGGCUUAACCCUGGGCUUGCAGUGGAUACGGGCAGACUAGAGGUAGGUAGGGGAGAAUGGAAUUCCCGGUGUAGCGGUGAAAUGCGCAGAUAUCGGGAGGAACACCGGUGGCGAAGGCGGUUCUCUGGGCCUUACCUGACGCUGAGGAGCGAAAGCGUGGGGAGCGAACAGG
rnacentral:rRNA from 1 species